CAACAGAUGGCGCCAAUUGUUGAUUAAGCAUUUAGGGGGCGUCGCUGCCGAUAAGAUUGUGCUCUGUGUGUAUGCUUGGGUGUGCCUCGCUGUGUGUGUGUUG